rnacentral:rRNA from 1 species
GAUGAACGCUGGCGGCGUGCCUAAUACAUGCAAGUCGAGCGAACAGACGAGGAGCUUGCUCCUCUGACGUUAGCGGCGGACGGGUGAGUAACACGUGGAUAACCUACCUAUAAGACUGGGAUAACUUCGGGAAACCGGAGCUAAUACCGGAUAAUAUAUUGAACCGCAUGGUUCAAUAGUGAAAGACGGUUUUGCUGUCACUUAUAGAUGGAUCCGCGCCGCAUUAGCUAGUUGGUAAGGUAACGGCUUACCAAGGCGACGAUGCGUAGCCGACCUAGAGGGUGAUCGGCCACACUGGAACUGAGACACGGUCCAGACUCCUACGGGAGGCAGCAGUAGGGAAUCUUCCGCAAUGGGCGAAAGCCUGACGGAGCAACGCCGCGUGAGUGAUGAAGGUCUUCGGAUCGUAAAACUCUGUUAUUAGGGAAGAACAAAUGUGUAAGUAACUAUGCACGUCUUGACGGUACCUAAUCAGAAAGCCACGGCUAACUACGUG